GUACUUACCUGGCAGGGAGACACCUUGAUCAUGAAGGAGGUUUUCCCAGGAUGAGGCUCAUCCAUUGCACUACGGGUGUGCUGACCCCGGCGAUUUCCCCAAAUGAGGGAAAUUUGUGGUACCUC